UACGUAGGGUGCGAGCGUUAAUCGGAAUUACUGGGCGUAAAGCGUGCGCAGGCGGUGACGUAAGACAGGUGUGAAAUCCCCGGGCUUAACCUGGGAACUGCAUUUGUGACUGCAUCGCUGGAGUGCGGCAGAGGGGGAUGGAAUUCCGCGUGUAGCAGUGAAAUGCGUAGAUAUGCGGAGGAACACCGAUGGCGAAGGCAAUCCCCUGGGCCUGCACUGACGCUCAUGCACGAAAGCGUGGGGAGCAAACAGG
rnacentral:rRNA from 1 species